rnacentral:rRNA from 1 species
GACGAACCGUGCGAACGUUGUUCGGAAUCACUGGGCUUAAAGGGCGCGUAGGCGGCUUCGCAAGUCCGGGGUGAAAGCCCCCAGCUUAACUGGGGAAGUGCCUCGGAUACUGCGGAGCUCGAGGGAGGUAGGGGCGGAUGGAACUUCCGGUGGAGCGGUGAAAUGCGUUGAUAUCGGAAGGAACGCCGGUGGCGAAAGCGGCUUACUGGGUCUCUUCUGACGCUGAGGAACGAAAGCUAGGGUAGCGAACGGG